CAAGUCGAACGAGCGAGAGAGAGCUUGCUUUCUCGAGCGAGUGGCGAACGGGUGAGUAACGCGUGAGGAACCUGCCUCAAAGAGGGGGACAACAGUUGGAAACGACUGCUAAUACCGCAUAAGCCCACGGCUCGGCAUCGAGCAGAGGGAAAAGGAGCAAUCCGCUUUGAGAUGGCCUCGCGUCCGAUUAGCUAGUUGGUGAGGUAAUGGCCCACCAAGGCGACGAUCGGUAGCCGGACUGAGAGGUUGAACGGCCACAUUGGGACUGAGACACGGCCCAGACUCCUACGGGAGGCAGCAGUGGGGAAUAUUGCACAAUGGGGGAAACCCUGAUGCAGCGACGCCGCGUGGAGGAAGAAGGUCUUCGGAUUGUAAACUCCUGUUGUUGGGGAAGAUAAUGACGGUACCCAACAAGGAAGUGACGGCUAACUACGUGCCAGCAGCCGCGGUAAAACGUAGGUCACAAGCGUUGUCCGGAAUUACUGGGUGUAAAGGGAGCGCAGGCGGGAAGACAAGUUGGAAGUGAAAUCUAUGGGCUCAACCCAUAAACUGCUUUCAAAACUGUUUUUCUUGAGUAGUGCAGAGGUAGGCGGAAUUCCCGGUGUAGCGGUGGAAUGCGUAGAUAUGCGGGAGGAACACCAGUGGCGAAGGCGGC
rnacentral:rRNA from 1 species